CUGCAGCCAAGAAGAGUGCCUGACGAGCCCAGUUUUGAAGUCUCAACCAGGUUAUGACCAUGGCCAUUUUACAGAGUCUGCUCCUUUUGACUUUUAUUUCAGCUGCUCGCUGUCAGUCUCUCACCUCAUCAGAGCCAGUGGUCAGCAGACCAGGACAAUCAGUCACUCUGUCCUGUAGAGUUCAAGGACUCUCUCUGGCUUGGUUGCACUGGAUUCGUCAAAAACCUGGGAAAGGACUGGAGUGGAUCGGACGCAUUGAUGGCGGGACUGGCACAAUAUUUGCCCAAAGUCUCCAAGGCCAGUUUUCCAUCACCAAAGACACUUCCCAAAAUCGUGUGAAUUUAGUGGUGAACAGCCUCAAACAAGAAGACUCUGCAGUUUAUUUCUGUGCACGAUAGCCACAGUGAAAUAAGAGACUGAAAGGCCAUGCAAAAACUGUGUAUCUGAGAAGCACUGAACCAUGUCAAGCUUAGAAGAUAAAUAGUGACAAACAAAAACU